rnacentral:rRNA from 1 species
UACGUAGGGCGCAAGCGUUGUCCGGAAUUAUUGGGCGUAAAGAGCUCGUAGGCGGCUUGUCGCGUCUGUUGUGAAAGCCCGGGGCUCAACCCCGGGCCUGCAUUCGAUACUGGCGGGCUCGAGGCAGGCAGGGGAGAGCGGAAUUCCUGGUGUAGCGGUGAAAUGCGCAGAUAUCAGGAGGAACACCGGUGGCGAAGGCGGCUCUCUGGGCCUGUCCUGACGCUCAGGCGCGAAAGCUAGGGGAGCAAACAGG